UACGUAUGGAGCAAGCGUUAUCCGGAUUUACUGGGUGUAAAGGGAGCGCAGGCGGCAUUGCAAGUCUGAUGUGAAAGGCCGGGGCUCAACCCCGGGACUGCAUUGGAAACUGUAAAGCUAGAGUGCCGGAGAGGUAAGCGGAAUUCCUAGUGUAGCGGUGAAAUGCGUAGAUAUUAGGAGGAACACCAGUGGCGAAGGCGGCUUACUGGACGGCAACUGACGCUGAGGCUCGAAAGCGUGGGGAGCAAACAGG
rnacentral:rRNA from 1 species